AACGAACGCUGGCGGCAUGCCUAACACAUGCAAGUCGAACGAGACCUUCGGGUCUAGUGGCGCACGGGUGCGUACCGCGUGGGAACCUGCCCUUAGGUUCGGAAUAACUUCCCGCAAGGGGUUCUAAUACCGGAUAAUGUCUUCGGACCAAAGCUUUAUCGCCUUUGGAUGGGCCCGCGUUGGAUUAGCUAGUUGUUAGGGUAAAAGCCUACCAAGGCGACGAUCCAUAGCUGGUCUGAGAGGAUGAUCAGCCACACUGGGACUGAGACACGGCCCAGACUGCUACGGGAGGCAGCAGUGGGGAAUAUUGGACAAUGGGCGGAAGCCUGAUCCAGCAAUGCCGCGUGAGUGAUGAAGGCCUUAGGGUUGUAAAGCUCUUUUACCCGGGAUGAUAAUGACAGUACCGGGAGAAUAAGCUCCGGCUAACUCCGUG
rnacentral:rRNA from 1 species